GGGUCUCAGAAGGCAGUGCUCUUGGGGAGUCUCCACCAUGGCCUGGGCUCUGCUCCUCGUCACCCUCCUCACUCAGGGCACAGGGUCCUGGGCCCAGUCUGCACUGACUCAGCCUCCCUCAGUGUCCGGGACUCCUGGACAGACUGUCACCAUCUCCUGCACUGGAAGCAGCAGUAGCUAUAUCUCCUGGUACCAACAUCACCCGGGCUCAGUCCCUAAACUCCUGAUUUAUGCUGUCAGUUCUCGGCCCUCAGGGGUCCCUGAUCGCUUCUCUGGCUCCAAUUCUGGCAACACAGCCACCCUGACCAUCUCUGGGCUCCAGGCUGAAGAUGAGGCCGAUUACUACUGUAGCUCAUAUAUAGGCAGUUACACUGUCCACAGUGGUUCAAGUUCAUGGGGAAGUGAGACCAAAACCUCCUUUGAGCUCACGCCAACCCCUCACCCCUAA